GGGCCGGGCUCCGCCGCGGGCAGCCCGCAGCGCCCGGGGCUCCGGGACAGCGCACCUGCCUCCCGCCCGCUCUCACGGGCCGGAGAAAGACUGGGAGAACUGAAGGAGAAUUGAGGAGAUGGGAAUACACAAAGCGAAAGCGUCACAUCGGUGUUUUCCUAAGCCCCUGCCCCGAGACUUUCUCCCUCUCUUCGCUGGGCGCUCCCCAGAGGAUCGGGCACUAACACCCACGUACGUGUGCAGGAGCCAACCCAGGGAGGCUGCUCGUCUGUAAGCUAACCCCACAGAAGUGAAGAGGAAAAAAAAAAAAGAACAACGAAACAAAAAAACUUUUCAGCCAGAUCUGCUCCAAGGAGCAAUUCACAGAAGGAUCAGACAAGAGCCAGUGCCAGCACAGCGCCGAAGGUGGAAACACAGAGCCAGAGCCAAUAGAGGAGAGGACAAGGCAGCCCAAACUUAGAUCAACUCCAGCUGUGAUGGACCCAGAGCGGGAGCCAGCCUGACCACUGAGAAGCUUCCUAAAACCUCUGCACUUUCUCUAAACACACUGAGAUAGAAUGAGUAAGCAUAUGGAGUUUAAAUUACCACAAUACCAGAGAAAUAAAAUCAGGAUUCUUACAUAAACACUGAAUGGGUCAAGAAGAAAGAAAAAGCCCUCAUGGUCAUAAAGAUAUCAAGCAGAGUUUCUGUAGGGUGUAACAGGCCAGGAAAAAUCCUUCCUGAGCUACACAGAUUACACUUGUGAGUAAAUGUCUCCUUUCUAAGCCUUCAUUGUGUAGAUGAGAAGAUAAGGUAGAGGCUGUUUGAGAAAGAUUGAAAAAGACUGAAACCAGAGUAGGAGUGAGCAUUUGGAAAAUUAAUAGUGUGGAAGACAGCACGUUUUUUUUCUGUGCAAAUAUCUAAAUCCUGCCAUCCCACACCCUUAAAAUAUGAAUAUUUUCUUACUUGAGGAUAUGUAAGUUUUUAGAACAAACAGAUUUAUCUGGAUAAUAUUUGUAAGGGCAACUACAUACACAUGCUGAAGUGUUGGAAAACUAAAUUUAAAAGAAAGGAGAAAAAAUACUUAGGAGAUAUGAAGUCCAGAACAAAAAUAUUUCUAAUAUUACAGUUCAGACUGUAAAUAAAACAGGCAAAGUCUAAUAUGUUGACUACAGCAACAGCAGCAAGAAAAGAAGUCUCUGUAAAAGAUCAACUUGGAAAUUGCAGACAAAAGCUGCAGGGAAGCUACAAAGGAUUGGUGUGUAAAUUCCUAAAAGAGAAUAGGCUAUAUUUGGAGGUACAUGAAUAAACAGAUAUUAGUUAGUAGGUUUAGCUUUCCCAUUGAGGAUUAUACUAGUUGGAAGGAAGAUAAAAUCUGAGACUGACUUUGGGGAAAACACCUAAAAAAUUUAGAAAAGUUUAUAUUGACCAUAUACUUAGAAUUCUAGCAGACAUCAAGGUGACCCAUGGACUGUUCCCAGAUACACAUUGGUUUAGCAGGUAGGUCUUUGAAUGUAACUGGGAUAAAUCAGUAUUUACAGAUACUUUUAUGUUCCCACUUCCUGUCUUCUGCUCAUAAUUUAGGAAAUUAGUAUAAAUUAUUUGCAAACACAAAAAGAGAUAUCCAAAAGUAAAGUGGUGUAGUCAAGGUAUGUUAAAGGUUGACACAAACACUUUCUGGAGGACAGCAGUGGAGAGCAGCAUGGAAAGAGUGUAAAGGAUACUUCAAGGGAAAAGUGCUGAUAAUCAGAGGAAUUCAAAGAAGAGAAAAGCAGGCAAAAGUAAUUCACAUGCAAUCAACACAUUUUCAGAUUUGGAGAAGUAUUGGAUGAUGGAUUUUUAGAAACAGAAGUUACUCAGAAAUAAAAGUUUCAUGUGUGCUGCCCUCUGGUCCUAUGUACAGUUAUUGAGGAGAGGGAAGGUAAGGAACUUGAUUUUUACAAUUUUGUUUCUGCCCUGCCCUGGCUGAGAUAAUAAAAGCAAAGUUUGGCUAAUUCAAUUCGGAUGUGUAUUGAUUUGUUGUUGCUGUUGCUAGCAGCAUUGCUCUGCUGUACUCUCAGUGCCCUUGAGCAAGCAGGAAGAAACCUGGGAAGGGAGAAAUGCAUGGCAUGGGGAAGAAUAGGAUGGCAUCCCUGAGGCUGGGAAAAUGUAACAUGGGCUUUUAUGGAACAGCUACAAAAACACCUGUAAAUGCCAUGUCUUUCUGCUCAGCUUUGUUUAUACACAUUUAGUAGCAGUCCUCAAGACUGGAUUUUUGUUAGUCAAGCAGAUGAAGUCAGUUGAACUCAAACUGCCUGAAAGAGCACAGCUCAAGGAUUCAACCACCCUUAGUGGAUGGACUUAAUCAGAUUCAGUAGGUUCAACAUAUGUCCUUAGGGAAUUUGUCAGAAAUAUUUUUUAAUUGUUAUCAAAACAAACAAAACCCCCCAAAAAACAAACCAAAAAAAAUGAAGCAGAAAUUUCUUCUUAACAGCAGACAUGAAUAAGAAUAUAAGGACAACAGAAUGUCUUUUCCAUGUACACUAGUUUUACCCAGAAACUACAGCUCUUGUCUAAGCCAGUCUCCACAGAGUGGAGUGCCCAGAUUUUGACCAAUGUUCUCUUUAAUCAGUAUGUGUAGAUAUACAACUGUGUACCUUUAGGGCAGCCUGGAACUGCUGUCGUCAGAGCAGAUGAUCCAGGCAAGGUUUGGCAAUUAUCCCAUGCUGUGUGCCACAGGGUUGUUCAAUCCAGCAUGCUUCCUCACAGUCCUGCCAUCACAACAAAUUACCAUAUAAACAUAGGAAACUUUACAAUAACACAAUUAUGAACUAACCACCUUAAUUUACUAGAGCACAAAUAGUAUUCCAAAACUGUAACACAUUUCUUACCUGAAAAGUGGGCAGAAAUCACUGGUCUCCUUUUGUAAUGAGGUCAUGAUAUCAAACCUUUUUACUUUUUACUGAAUGCUGGUCACUGGGAAAAUUCAUGGGUAAUCAGUGAUCUUUUAAAAUAUGCUGGAUUGUCACUCAUCUCCUGUAAUACCUUAAGAAAUGUGUCCUUGCCUGAUUAGAUGUUUUGGUACCAUAAAAAGGAAGUAAUAAAACCCCUCCCAAACACAGUGAAUUUCAGAUCUGCAAAUGUAUAUCAGUACAGCAAAUAUAAGUUACCUUUUUUUAUUAACUGCCUUAUUUUAGUAUUAUAAAAGAUUUGAAGUAGUUAACCAACACACCAAGGCCCUAGAAACUAUGGCUUUUUUCUUUCUUUUUUUUUUUUUAAAUAAAAUGAAGCCAUCCCAACUCACCCAAAAUUUUAGCUCUCCUGUGGAAAGACAGAUAAAAGGUUAAAUCCUUAGAGAACAAAGAGAAAUUUUAAAAAAAUUCCUCCAUCCUAAAUUGUCACCAGGAUUACAAAUCAGCUGAUUACAAUACAAGAAUAUGAACUGGGCUGGUUAUAGGACAGUGUGCAAAUUUAAAACUGCUCUACACUGAAGGGUUUUUUUUUAUUCACACUGUUCUGGACUAGAACCUAUUUUCCUGCACAACUAUUAAAAGUACCUGUAAGAGUACAUACACUUUGCAUGUUUGUCAGGAAUUACAGAUAUGAAUAUUUGAAAUUAAGAAUUCUUAAUUAAAUUUUAAAUAGCUACAUACUAUGUUUUGGUGUCUUUCUUACAAUUUUCAAAUUAUUUUAAAUAUACAGUACUUACCUAUUUACACAUUGAAAAGUUGUACUUUAAAAUGGAAACAGUUAUGGUUCCAAUCUGCUACUCAUAACAUACAAAAAUAACAGAUAUACAUAAUUCCAGUAGGCACUGUGAUUUAUUAUUUUAGCCUUUACCAAGAAAAACAUUUUCAAGCAAGUUUCUUUUGACCAGAAGUUUAUGAACUAAAGUUGGAAAGGUGGUUCUAUAAGCCA
rnacentral:lncRNA from 1 species